rnacentral:rRNA from 1 species
CGCGAACGCUGGCGGCAGGCUUAACACAUGCAAGUCGAGCGGGCAUCUUCGGAUGUCAGCGGCAGACGGGUGAGUAACACGUGGGAACGUACCCUUCGGUUCGGAACAACUCUGGGAAACUGGAGCUAAUACCGGAUACGCCCUUAUGGGGAAAGGUUUACUGCCGAAGGAUCGGCCCGCGUCUGAUUAGCUAGUUGGUGGGGUAACGGCCUACCAAGGCGACGAUCAGUAGCUGGUCUGAGGGGAUGAUCAGCCACACUGGGACUGAGACACGGCCCAGACUCCUACGGGAGGCAGCAGUGGGGAAUAUUGGACAAUGGGCGCAAGCCUGAUCCAGCCAUGCCGCGUGAGUGAUGAAGGCCUUAGGGUUGUAAAGCUCUUUUGUCCGGGACGAUAAUGACGGUACCGGAAGAAUAAGCCCCGGCUAACUUCGUG